GCCUCCAUGGUGUAGUGGUCAGCACACUCGGCGCGUAAUCGUGAGAUCCGUGGUUCGAGUCCCGGUGAGGCA
rnacentral:tRNA from 1 species